GCAGUUGUGGCUCAGUGGUAGAGCAUUGGCUUUGUAAGCUGAAGGUAGUGGGUUCGAUUCCCAAACCGCA
rnacentral:tRNA from 1 species